rnacentral:rRNA from 1 species
GAUGAACGCUGGCGGCGUGCCUAAUACAUGCAAGUCGAGCGAACAGACGAGGAGCUUGCUCCUCUGACGUUAGCGGCGGACGGGUGAGUAACACGUGGAUAACCUACCUAUAAGACUGGGAUAACUUCGGGAAACCGGAGCUAAUACCGGAUAAUAUAUUGAACCGCAUGGUUCAAUAGUGAAAGACGGUUUUGCUGUCACUUAUAGAUGGAUCCGCGCCGCAUUAGCUAGUUGGUAAGGUAACGGCUUACCAAGGCAACGAUGCGUAGCCGACCUGAGAGGGUGAUCGGCCACACUGGAACUGAGACACGGUCCAGACUCCUACGGGAGGCAGCAGUAGGGAAUCUUCCGCAAUGGGCGAAAGCCUGACGGAGCAACGCCGCGUGAGUGAUGAAGGUCUUCGGAUCGUAAAACUCUGUUAUUAGGGAAGAACAAAUGUGUAAGUAACUAUGCACGUCUCGACGGUACCUAAUCAGAAAGCCACGGCUAACUACGUG